AUAUUAAGCAGUUCAGAGUUAGGACAAAAGACAGAACCUCGACAAGCUGAGCACAUUUACUUCGUUCACUAAUCCCAAUAAUCGAUUCAGUAGAUAUCUAACAAUGGCCUUAUUAAUACAAAACAUAGUGCUUGACAAGGUUGACAGCUGAAGAAGCUAUUGCUCGAAAGGCAAAAUUUGCAACAAUGGCUACCAUUGUUAUUAUACCUACCUCGUCAACAUAUGAGACAAGUAAAAUUAACAAAUUCUUUGAAAUUACAACCUACAGGGGUAUAGCUCAACUCGAUCAAAGAAUCACCAAAAUGUCAUUUUCUCUUUAUGAAAAAUGUAAUCAUAAAUUAAAUCAUACAAGUACCCAUUUCCUUCCUUUACAAGUAAAUAUUAUGAUGAUUUGAAACUAUUCUAUUCAUAUCUUAAAAAGGUCAACAUCAACACUGAACAUCCAUAAAAUAGGGAACCUGUAAAAAUUAAAAUAAGACGAGAGCGAGGAGACAGAGAAGGACAACAAAUAGAAAAGAGGAAUAUUUUCGUUGGUAUAAUGAAAUUUCAUAUCAGCAGCUUUACCUCCCAUAAAAGUAAUUUUUUUUUCGUAGCGAGUGGAUGCAAGGAAACUUAUAAAUCAAAAGAUAAGGAGAAGAGCAACUAAAUAGAAAGAAGUCAUAAUUUUUAAUUGAAAUGAUACGUUUGAUAAUUUUUUUUAAAGCUUAUACGCAAACAAACAAAUAAAAAUUUCAACAAAAUAUUAGCC
rnacentral:lncRNA from 1 species